GGUGAAGAGAGCUAGAGAAGAGGAAGUAUUGCUGAAUCCUGAGUCUCUUCCUAAGUAAGCACUGAUGGCACCACUCCAGAUGCUUAAGACGGCUUCGAUCUCUGCCAAUAAAGACACAACAUAGCAACAUUCUGAAGGAUGCACUGGCACAAUGGAUCCCAUGUUCAAGCAAGACUGGUGUCUGGGGGAGUGGAUAAAUGACUAUAUUACCCCUUCCUCAAUGCAAUCUUCAUCUUCCUUAGGAGACUAUGAAUUAAAGAAUGAAAUGAAUUCUCUUCAGCUCACCACCAGCACAUGUGGAAAACUAUGUAUACACCUUUAACUGAGAGGUGACUUGUAGGAAAAACAGAAAAAAAUAAUAUGUUUUAAUUUCCUAUAAAGGAAGACAA